rnacentral:rRNA from 1 species
ACACAUGCAAGUCGAACGGUAACAGGGAUCUUCUUGCUGAUUCGCUGACGAGUGGCGGACGGGUGAGUAAUGUCUGGGAAACUGCCUGAUGGAGGGGGAUAACUACUGGAAACGGUAGCUAAUACCGCAUAACGUCGCAAGACCAAAGAGGGGGACCUUCGGGCCUCUUGCCAUCGGAUGUGCCCAGAUGGGAUUAGCUAGUAGGUGGGGUAACGGCUCACCUAGGCGACGAUCCCUAGCUGGUCUGAGAGGAUGACCAGCCACACUGGAACUGAGACACGGUCCAGACUCCUACGGGAGGCAGCAGUGGGGAAUAUUGCACAAUGGGCGCAAGCCUGAUGCAGCCAUGCCGCGUGUAUGAAGAAGGCCUUCGGGUUGUAAAGUACUUUCAGCGGGGAGGAAGGGAGUAAAGUUAAUACCUUUGCUCAUUGACGUUACCCGCAGAAGAAGCACCGGCUAACUCCGUGCCAGCAGCCGCGGUAAUACGGAGGGUGCAAGCGUUAAUCGGAAUUACUGGGCGUAAAGCGCGCGCAGGCGGUUUGUUAAGUCAGAUGUGAAAUCCCCGGGCUCAACCUGGGAACUGCAUCUGAUACUGGCAAGCUUGAGUCUCGUAGAGGGGGGUAGAAUUCCAGGUGUAGCGGUGAAAUGCGUAGAGAUCUGGAGGAAUACCGGUGGCGAAGGCGGCCCCCUGGACGAAGACUGACGCUCAGGUGCGAAAGCGUGGGGAGCAAGCAGGAUUAGAUACCCUGGUAGUCCACGCCGUAAACGAUGUCGACUUGGAGGUUGUGCCCUUGAGGCGUGGCUUCCGGAGCUAACGCGUUAAGUCGACCGCCUGGGGAGUACGGCCGCAAGGUUAAAACUCAAAUGAAUUGACGGGGGCCCGCACAAGCGGUGGAGCAUGUGGUUUAAUUCGAUGCAACGCGAAGAACCUUACCUGGUCUUGACAUCCACGGAAGUUUUCAGAGAUGAGAAUGUGCCUUCGGGAACCGUGAGACAGGUGCUGCAUGGCUGUCGUCAGCUCGUGUUGUGAAAUGUUGGGUUAAGUCCCGCAACGAGCGCAACCCUUAUCCUUUGUUGCCAGCGGUCCGGCCGGGAACUCAAAGGAGACUGCCAGUGAUAAACUGGAGGAAGGUGGGGAUGACGUCAAGUCAUCAUGGCCCUUACGACCAGGGCUACACACGUGCUACAAUGGCGCAUACAAAGAGAAGCGACCUCGCGAGAGCAAGCGGACCUCAUAAAGUGCGUCGUAGUCCGGAUUGGAGUCUGCAACUCGACUCCAUGAAGUCGGAAUCGCUAGUAAUCGUGGAUCAGAAUGCCACGGUGAAUACGUUCCCGGGCCUUGUACACACCGCCCGUCACACCAUGGGAGUGGGUUGCAAAAGAAGUAGGUAGCUUAACCUUCGGGAGGGCGCUUACCACUUUGUGAUUCAUGACUGGGGUGAAGUCGU